rnacentral:lncRNA from 10 species
CUCAGGCUCGGGCGCAGACUGCGAGCCGCCGGGCAGGUUUUCGUAGUAGUCGGCGUCGUAGUCGUCUUCGUCCUUGUCGUCUUCCUCCUCCUCUCCGCUGUCCUCGGAGCCCUCCGGGGAGUGCGGAGGGGCGUGAGCGAGCCCAUGGCUCUGGGGGGCGGCCUCCUGCCCGCCGCGCGGCCGAGGCCCGAGCGCCCCCAACUGCUCCGGGUGCCCUCCGGGGACCCGCGCCCCGGGACCCCACGCCUCAGGUGACGGCGAGGGCUGCUGUAGGCUCCGCCCGUGUCCCCCGGCGUGCUCACGUGGGAGGGUGUCUGCGGCACCCCAGGCGUCUCCCGCGGCUGCCGAAGAGGCCGCCACCGCAGCUGCGGCUGCCGCCCGGAGCCCUAGCCCCCCGGUGCCGCGGGGACCCCGCCUUCCCCGGAGCCUGGACAGCGUCCUCCUCAGAGGGUCCGCCAUCCCCUCUGCCUUAGCCGCGAGGCUCACCCCCGCCAGGGGGAGAGGUCGGAGCCCCGCUGGGGAGAAAACCGCGCUCGCGGAGGCGGAGGCGGAGGCGGCGGCGGCUCCCCAUGACCGGCGCUGGCCCUCGCCGGCUCCUCACAUACUUGGCAUAACUCUGCCGCGGGAAGGCGUGGGGGAGGGCGGUGGCGCCGCAACGCGCAUGCCCCGGAGCCCCGGGCCGCGACGGGGCGCGCGGGCCGGGGGCGGCAGAGUUAAUGCAUGCUAACAAAAUUAUUACAUCAGCCAAAACUUGUAAAAUGGAGCCACAAAUAUUAUGUCCCUCAUCACCCUACCUACAAGAUUAUCAUACAGGUUUGCAGCUUUCUAAUAUAAAAAAGUUAACACUUCAUUUUAAUUUAAAUAGUGAGUUGAGAAGCAAUUGAAUUGAAGUUGAGACACAGUGUAAUCUAGAAAUACCGGCUGUCUCCCAAAAACGUUAAAUUCCAGGUUCUGGGCAGCAGUUGCAAACUCAAGUACCCCUCGUUGCCAGAGAUUAAUUGAUUCAGUGACUGAUAAGAAUCAGUCGUGCUAUCAUCCCUGAUUUGAGUUACUUUUUUUAGUGUUUACAUAGUAGAAAGGGCCUUUUUCUGAGUUACUCAUAAAUAUGCUGACACCUAGCACAGUGCGUGCACUUAGUAGAUACUCAAAUACUUAAGAAAAUAUUUGUUGAAUAAAUAAAUGUUUGCAUUACUGAAUAAAAUGAAAUAAUUUUGCCCUAAUUUACCUUAUUUGCAACUGCAGUAUAUUUUCCUAUGUCAGUUGUUUUCUUGUUGUCCAGUGGCUCCAAUCUCUGAAUGUGCUUUGACUAUACUACCUUUAUUAGUACCUAGUCUCUGCUUUCUGGAAUAAUUGUUACCUGCAUCUGAGAUUUGCAGAUAAGAGAGAAUAUUUGCAGAAAUCUUACCCACUCUCUAAAACUCUGCUCUAGGCCAGGCGGGGUGGCUCAUGCCUGUAAUCUUAGCACUUUGAGAGGCUGAGAUGGGCAGAUUGCUUGAGCCCAGGAGUUCAAGACCAGCCUGGACAACAUGGCACAACCUGGUCUCUACGAGGAACAAAAACAAACAAAAAAAAAAACACAAAAAAAAUUGGCUAGAUGUGGUGGUGUGCACCUGUAGUCCUAGCUACUCUAGAGGCCGCGGUGGGAGGAUCACUUGAGCCUGUGAGGCUGAAGCUGCAAUGAACCGAGAUCAUGACACUUCAUUCCAACCUGGAUGACUGAGGGAGAUUCUGUCUCAAAAUAAUAAGAAUAAAAUAAUAAAACUCAGCUCAACUGCCUUCUUGUUUAUGAAGUCAUCUCUGAUCUCCCAGACGGGAACUCAAGUUCUAAACUUCAAUAUUACUUUAUU